rnacentral:lncRNA from 1 species
AUGCUGGGCUGUGACUCAGUAAGGCAUCAAGGGGAUGAAAGGAUGAAGUCCAAUAGAUUCUGCUCCAGCCUCUUACAUUUACUCAGUGUGUGUCUACCUGUCUCAAAUGUGUUUCUUGUAAACAAUAUAUGGACCAAAUAUGAUGAUUGUUUUCAUAAUGUUGAACUAUCCCUGCCUUGAUGGUAUGUCUCACUGUUCAUAGUGUAUGAUAUUUGUGACACAUUACUAUAAUCUCUUUGAUAGCAUUUCAUUUUUAAAAUUGCAUCAAUAUUUUUUAGGGAAAUUUGUCAAUAGUUUUCUUUCUGUUUUUGCUUUUCUUGGUUUAGGGAUCAGUGCCAUAUUUGUGUCAUAAAGGAAAUGUAGUAGGACUGCUUUGUAUAUUUUUCCAGGGUUCUUAUAGUUCUGGAAUUAAUUGUUCUUUAAAUUUUUAGUAGAAUUCAUUUAUGACUCCAUCUAGUUGUAGAGAUUAUUUCUUAUGGAGCUCAUAGAUGGCUUGUUCAAUUUUUUUUCUAAGAUUUAAGGAGUUUGGGCAAUUUAUAUUUUUUUGUAAAUAUUCAUUUAUUUCACAUAAAUUGUUAGAUUUACUCAUGUGCAAUUGGGCAAAAUAGCUCCUAAUAAUUGCUUUAAUUUCAUCUUUAUUGGUAUUUUCCAUUUUUUUUUCAUUUUUUUAAACCCUUACCUUCUAUCUUAGCACCAGUGCUGUGUAUUGGUUUCAAGGCAGAAGAGUGAUAAGGGCUAGGCAAUGAAGGUUAAGUGAUUUGUUACACAGUUAGGAAAUAUCUGAAACCAGAUUUGAACCUAGGACUUCUCAUCUCUAGGACUGGCUCUCAAUCCACUGAGCCACCCAACUGCCCCUUUCAUUUUUCCUUUUUGAUACUGGUAAUUUGGUUUUCUUCUUUCUUUAAAAAACAACAACAACAAAUUAACCAAUGUUUUAGCUACUCAAUUUUUUUCAUCAAACCAGGUUCUUCUCUUAUUUAUUACUUCAAUAGUUUUCUUGAUUUCAAUUCUAUUAAUUUCUCUUUCGAUUUUUCAGGAUUUCCAAUAUGGCAUUUAGUUGGGGAUUAAAAAAAUUUUUUUCUAGUAGGUUUUAAAGUUCCACGUUCAACUCAUUGAUUUGCUUCUUUUCUGUUUUACUGAUCUAUGCAUUUAGAGAUAUAAAUUUCCCCAUAAGUAUUAC